AGGCUAGAGGGUGUGGUCGCUCCCACCCAGGCGAGCUUCAGCUCGUAGUUCAGGUACAGUCUGCCUUCAAGGUAGUAGCAGGUAAAAGCAAGGACCCAGUUGUGGGCGGGUCUAGUAGUUCUCGACUACUUGGUUAGGCGGUGUAUAGGGCCAUGCAGACCUAACAGUUGUCAGCCUGGGGGUUUCUUUUUGUGCAUUUUGUCACUUCCAGACUGUAUUUUCUUUAGUUUAUUUGGGUCUGUAUGGUUUAUAAUUAUUUUAAGGCUAGUGUGCCAGAGAUGUAUGUUAUGCAUGCUUGGGCUAUGUAAGCCUAGAGAUCA